rnacentral:rRNA from 1 species
AGAAGCAGGGGAUAACACUUGGAAACAGGUGCUAAUACCGUAUAACAACAAAAUCCGCAUGGAUUUUGUUUGAAAGGUGGCUUCGGCUAUCACUUCUGGAUGAUCCCGCGGCGUAUUAGUUAGUUGGUGAGGUAAAGGCCCACCAAGACGAUGAUACGUAGCCGACCUGAGAGGGUAAUCGGCCACAUUGGGACUGAGACACGGCCCAAACUCAUACGGGAGGCAGCAGUAGGGAAUCUUCCACAAUGGACGAAAGUCUGAUGGAGCAAUGCCGCGUGAGUGAAGAAGGGUUUCGGCUCGUAAAACUCUGUUGUUAAAGAAGAACACCUUUGAGAGUAACUGUUCAAGGGUUGA